UCUUUGCGUUAGGGAUAGGAGCGGCAUCCUUUUGUGACAAAUGUCAGGUCUUAUUUAACUACGAUAUUUUCUGGAACAAAAGAUACAGUGCAUAGCCCGGCCCUUG
rnacentral:sRNA from 1 species